UACGGGGGGGGCAAGCGUUGUUCGGAAUUACUGGGCGUAAAGGGCGCGUAGGCGGCCUGUUAAGUCGAACGUGAAAUCCCCGGGCUUAACCUGGGAACUGCAGUCGAGACUGUCUAGCUAGAGUAUGGGAGAGGGAAGUGGAAUUUCAGGUGUAGCGGUGAAAUGCGUAGAUAUCUGAAGGAACAUCAGUGGCGAAAGCGACUUCCUGGACCAAUACUGACGCUCAUGUGCGAAAGCGUGGGGGAGCAAACAGG
rnacentral:rRNA from 1 species